rnacentral:rRNA from 1 species
GGGAUAAUCCGGAGAAAUCCGGUCUAAUACCGCAUAAUAUCGUGAGUCUGCAUGGAUUUACGAUUAAAGGAGUGAUCCGGUGACGGAUGGGCAUGCGUGACAUUAGCUAGUCGGCGGGGUAACGGCCCACCGAGGCGACGAUGUCUAGGGGUUCUGAGAGGGAGGUCCCCCACACUGGUACUGAGACACGGACCAGACUCCUACGGGAGGCAGCAGUGAGGAAUAUUGGUCAAUGGGCUUACGCCUGAACCAGCCAAGUCGCGUGAGGGAAGACUGCCCUAUGGGUUGUAAACCUCUUUUGUCAGGGAGCAACGCCGGCUACGUGUAGCCGGACUGAGAGUACCUGAAGAAAAAGCAUCGGCUAACUCCGUGCCAGCAGCCGCGGUAAUACGGAGGAUGCGAGCGUUAUCCGGAUUUAUUGGGUUUAAAGGGUGCGUAGGCGGAAUGCCAAGUCAGCGGUAAAAUCGCGGGGCUCAACCUCGCUCCGCCGUUGAAACUGGCGUUCUUGAGUGGGCGAGAAGUAUGCGGAAUGCGUGGUGUAGCGGUGAAAUGCAUAGAUAUCACGCAGAACUCCGAUUGCGAAGGCAGCAUACCGGCGCCCAACUGACGCUGAAGCACGAAAGCGUGGGUAUCGAACAGGAUUAGAUACCCUGGUAGUCCACGCAGUAAACGAUGAAUACUAGCUGUUCGGGGCGAUUGGGCCUUGAGUGGCACAG